ACUGGGCGGCAAAACAAUUUUUGGGCGGCCAGAGCUGGAUUCAAUUUUUGAAUCUGUUUAUUCAUCCCCCAUCCCAAGACACUUUUUCUGUUCCUAUUGUUUCUUCUUCCAAGAGAAACCCUUAAACACAAACCCUCCCAACCAUCUUCUCCACCAAUUCUGUUACUACCCUUUCUUGAGAAACCCUAAAACACAAACCCUCGCAUCCAUCUUCUCCACCGAUGACACCACCAGCCACCGUCGAAACCAUCUUCUUCUCUUAAAGAGCCGAUGAUCUUGGGUUUGUUGUUUUAGGACAAAAUCAUGGCUGGUUCUCCUUAACAUACCCUCUGUUAGCCUUUACUGAUGCCAGAGAGUAGUCCAUUGAUGAUGAUGAGUUCUUCGCUGCUUCAAUGAAGAGUUGUUGUGUUAUAUGGCUGCUGAUGCUGGUGAUGGUUAGUAAGACCUGUCAGUCAGAACCCUCACCCGCACCUCCGACGGAAAACGACACGAGAUGGGAACUACUUGAAGCCGCUGCUAACCGGAUUCACAUUGAGGAUGGGUCUAUGACAAGUAUACCACCAGGAGAGCAUCACUACUACUUGUGGAAUCCUGAACAUUUUAUUCAAACGAGCCGUGGGUCCUCAUCUAUUUUUGUGUACCGAGACCAAGAAAAACCACCGUUGAUUACAUAUCCAUGCAGCUUUAAACCAUAUGCUGUGUUUUCAAGGACUAUUCUUCUGUCCCGAAGCAGCUUCAUUGCUCCUUCAUAAUUUCUGCAUUUAUCACAUCAGUCCCCCUCCCCCUGGACACGAGUUAGGAGCAGCAGCCAUAUGUCCUGAUGAUCCGGUUCUGUCUGUGGAGGAUCUUUGUGGUUAGAUUCUCGAGGUCCUUCACUAUUUUAGAUCUAGAUGCGGAAAAAAAACCCUUUAGACGGAGGACCCUCUUUUCUUGAAAAAGCUCUAGAUUUCUUCAGAAACACGGAACCAAGCUAUUGUCACAGGUCUACUUGAGGAGUUUGAGACAAUCUUUGAUGAUUAUGCUAUGCUCGAAUGUUGUACAUCGGCAGAUUCUUGGAUAGACAAUAGUGGGAGCGAAGAUUCAGUGGAUGAUGAACAUAAAGUAAACAGUUACCAUGAUGCUGAAAACGAAGCUGAUCAAGAAUGCGACGAGGAUCCUGAGCAUGUACUGAGUGGAUUUGAGUUUCUUGACGACCGGUUGAAACAAAACGGUCAUGCUGUCAUGGUGGUUGCCGAAGGGGCUGGUCAGGAUAUGAUCCCACGAACCGAUGAGCAGAAACAAAAGCGAGAUGAAUAUGGGAAUCCAGUGUUUUUAGAUGUUGGGGUGUGGUUGAAAUCGGAGUUGAAGAAAUGGUGGAGUAAGGAUCAUGAGGGUGAGUUGUUUACCGUCAACUAUAUCGACCCUUCAUACAUGUUGAGGAUCUGAUGCGGUUUUAACCAUACCAAAGGGCACCCUCUUCCCCUUGUGUGGAAUGAAUCUUGCUUUUGCCCGUGAGUUAAUCGGACCAGCAAUGUACUUUGGUCUCAUGGGCGAUGGUCAGCCAAUUGGGCCGUACGAUGACAUGUGGGCUGGCUGGUGCAUCAAGGUAUAACGUUUAUCUAUGUACACAUAAAGUGAAAGAAUGCGCGGAUCGGGUAACAUGUCAAUAUAUGGAUUAUACGAUCGGGUAACAUGUCAAUAUAUGGAUUAUUAAUGGAUUGCUACACCACCCCCUUGCAUCAUUCAUCAUGGUUCGCAUUGAUUAAACCAUGACAACCAUAGACCUCCUUUCCUUUUUUUAAUUUCUCCCUUUCCUUUUCACAAAAAUAAAUUAAAAUAAGAGAAUAAUGGUUUGAGUGAUUACGACACCCUUAGGGUAGUGGUUUUGGAUAGAUUAAAAGUGGGUGACAUGACGCUGAUAUGAAGGAUCAUGAGGAUCAUGAUCACAACUUGUACUUUUAAACUUCUAAGGCUAAAGGGUGUGGGGGCAUGGUUUGGGUAAUUAAUGUCACAUAGGACCAUUAAUGCAUUAAACCCUUGACUCAUCCACCAUGGUUGACAUGGAUUAAACCAUGGCAACCAUGAGCCACCUUUCCUUUUUCAAUAUUUCCUUUUCCUUUUCACAAAAAUAAAUUAAAAUAAGAAAAUAGUAGUUUGGAUCAUGACCACACACUUAGAGUGGUGGUUUUGGAUGAUGGAUUAGAAGUGAGUGACAUGCUUGAAAAAGAGUUUUUUUUUUUUGCCAAGAAUCCCUCUAACCCUUUCUGGAGAUGACAUGUUCCCAUUCAAGCUGAAAAGAAAACAAUUUCCAAUUCGAAUUAGCUUUUCCACUACGAUUAAUAAAGCUCAAGGUCAAACAAUUCCGCACGUUGGUAUUUAUCUACCGGAUUCUGUAUUUUCACAUGGACAACUUUAUGUGGCGUUAUCAAGAGGGAUUUCAAGACAAAAUACGAAGGUGUUGGUACAUCUAGCCAAAGAUUUUAAACAACGCGAAGUUUACACAUCAAAUGUUGUCUACCAGGAAGUGUUGCAUGAUUAAUGAACCGCAUUGGUAUCAAAACGAAGUAGAGGAGAAGAUACAAGAAAGUCAUGAGCGAACGGAUGUAUUGGUAAAACAGAAAGAGAUACAAGAGACUCCCCGUAUUUUGUUUUGGUGUUUCAUCCAGCUACUUGCUUGUUUUG